AUGAACGCUGGCGGCGUGCUUAACACAUGCAAGUCGAGCGAGAAGUUUUGAAAAGAUUCUUCGGAUGAAAUUUAAAAUGGAAAGCGGCGGACGGGUGAGUAACGCGUAGGCAACCUGCCCCAUACAAAGGGAUAGCUUUUGGAAACGAAUAUUAAUACCUUAUGAAACUUAACUAGUGCAUGCUAGGUAGGUCAAAGAUUUAUCGGUAUGGGAUGGGCCUGCGUCUGAUUAGCUAGUUGGUGAGGUAACGGCUCACCAAGGCGACGAUCAGUAGCCGACCUGAGAGGGUGAACGGCCACAUUGGAACUGAGACACGGUCCAAACUCCUACGGGAGGCAGCAGUGGGGAAUAUUGCACAAUGGGGGAAACCCUGAUGCAGCAACGCCGCGUGAACGAUGAAGGCCUUUGGGUCGUAAAGUUCUGUUCUAGGUGAUGAAAACUGACAGUAACCUAGGAGAAAGCCCCGGCUAACUCCGU
rnacentral:rRNA from 1 species